CCCGUCACAUCACGAAAGUGGAUUGUACUAGAAGUCUGCACGCCAACCCGCAAGGGAGGCAGCGGCCCAAGGUAUGAUUCAUGAUUGGGGUG
rnacentral:rRNA from 1 species